rnacentral:rRNA from 2 species
UGAACCUUUACUAUAGCUUGACACUGAACAUUGAGCCUUGAUGUGUAGGAUAGGUGGGAGGCUUUGAAGUGUGGACGCCAGUCUGCAUGGAGCCGACCUUGAAAUACCACCCUUUAAUGUUUGAUGUUCUAACGUGGACCCGUAAUCCGGGUUGCGGACAGUGUCUGGUGGGUAGUUUGACUGGGGCGGUCUCCUCCUAAAGAGUAACGGAGGAGCACGAAGGUUGGCUAAUCCUGGUCGGACAUCAGGAGGUUAGUGCAAUGGCAUAAGCCAGCUUGACUGCGAGCGUGACGGCGCGAGCAGGUGCGAAAGCAGGUCAUAGUGAUCCGGUGGUUCUGAAUGGAAGGGCCAUCGCUCAACGGAUAAAAGGUACUCCGGGGAUAACAGGCUGAUACCGCCCAAGAGUUCAUAUCGACGGCGGUGUUUGGCACCUCGAUGUCGGCUCAUCACAUCCUGGGGCUGAAGUAGGUCCCAAGGGUAUGGCUGUUCGCCAUUUAAAGUGGUACGCGAGCUGGGUUUAGAACGUCGUGAGACAGUUCGGUCCCUAUCUGCCGUGGGCGCUGGAGAACUGAGGGGGGCUGCUCCUAGUACGAGAGGACCGGAGUGGACGCAUCACUGGUGUUCGGGUUGUCAUGCCAAUGGCACUGCCCGGUAGCUAAAUGCGGAAGAGAUAAGUGCUGAAAGCAUCUAAGCACGAAACUUGCCCCGA